CUUGUUGGCGCCCAAUAAUUGGUGGGAGGGAGGCACGUGGAAGUCGAGGGAGGAGAUACAGACCCUUUAGCUACACCACCCACUCGUGUGAGAGUGAGACUUUUCUUACCCCAAGGGUAAAAGUGGGAGGUAAAGAGACCUUCCGCUGCGUAAAAUCAGCUCGACCCGGAAACAGUCUCUUUAAAAUUAUUCACACUCUGUAGGGGCGGGCGGAAUUGACGUGUAGCGAAGGCUGGAAGGCUUCGCAAGUUGCUAAGCGACGAGGCGGGAGAGCGCGCGCACGCACGGGCAGCUGGCGAGUACCUGAGGGAUUUGUGGCUCUCGCAACUCAGAGACCGAAGACUCCUAGCGAGUGCGUCGCGGCCUGCCGGGUCCUCCUUCCGUAGUUGCCAGGGGACCCUUCGCUCUAGGUAGUGUCCGGUGACGAGCUGAGCAGCUUGCGGGGACGCCCCUCUGAGGCGGCCAGCUGCUGCGCGCGUCUUCCCGACUCCAGAGGCAGGUAGAAGUUCAGUGGU